rnacentral:rRNA from 1 species
GAUGAACGCUGGCGGCGUGCUUAACACAUGCAAGUCGAACGGAAAGGCUCCUGCUUGCAGGGGUACUCGAGUGGCGAACGGGUGAGUAACACGUGGGUGAUCUGCCCUGCACUUCGGGAUAAGCCUGGGAAACUGGGUCUAAUACCGGAUAGGACGAUGGUUUGGAUGCCAUUGUUGAAAGUUUUUCGGUGUGGGAUGAGCUCGCGGCUUAUCAGCUUGUUGGUGGGGUAAUGGCCUACCAAGGCGUCGACGGGUAGCCGGCCUGAGAGGGUGUACGGCCACAUUGGGACUGAGAUACGGCCCAGACUCCUACGGGAGGCAGCAGUGGGGAAUAUUGCACAAUGGGCGCAAGCCUGAUGCAGCGACGCCGCGUGGGGGAUGACGGCCUUCGGGUUGUAAACUCCUUUCGCUAGGAACGAAGCGCAAGUGACGGUACCUGGAGAAGAAGCACCGGCUAACUACGUG